GGAGACGUGCCAGAGUGGUUGAAUGGGCUCGUUUCGAAAACGAGUGUGGCAGCAAUGUCACCAGGGGUUCGAAUCCUCUCGUCUCCG
rnacentral:tRNA from 1 species